rnacentral:lncRNA from 12 species
CGAAAAUACUGUUUGAUGUUAUAAUAAUGGCUAUAUGUCAUUACGCAUUUUUCUGUAUCUACAGAAUGUAUGACACCAAGAGUGAACCAACCGUAAGGUAAACUAUGGACUUUAGAUGAUUGUGAUGUAUCAAUGUAUGUUCACUCUUGGUUUAAAAAAGGAGGUGGGGGGGGACACAUGAAUGGCUCAGUCAGUUAAGCAUCCAAGUCUUGAUUUCAGCUCAGGUCAUGACCUCAGUCAUGAGAUCGAGCGUUCUUUACCGCCGUCAGGCCGGUUCCUGUGGAGCGCAACCCAGAUCAGACCCGACAAGUCAACCGUCAACCGUCAGCCAGGCGUGCCAUCAGGGCAGUGAUUUUAUAGCAUCCUGGGGUAUCGCGCCCCAGCCCCCGGGGGCCGCAUCUAAUCCCACUCAACUCGGGAGGGACAGACAGGGUCUUCAGUCCUGUGGACACAGCUCUUAUGGGGCUGGGGGGGAAGUGGCUACAGAUCUUGGGGGUCACUCCUCCGUACUUCUGCUCUCAACCAGUCUGAGAGUGUGGGGUGAGGUGCAGGUGGAAGAGGAAGAGCCAGGGGCCCGGCUUCUCUGCAGACCCUCCCAAACCGCUGUGAUGCCACAGAGUCAUCGAGCCAGCUCUGCCAGGCUCCUGGGCUUGGCAGUGCCCAGGACUCCUGCUCUGGGUGGAGGAUGCCAGGCUGGACUGCUGGGGAUGCUGAGAUGGGAAGCCAGGUCUGCCAAGGACCAGCGAGGAGGCUCCAACACCUUAGGCUUGUACGGCUGUUCCAGAUGACCUGGGAAGUCGGUGAGCCUUACAAGUGGGGACAGGAGACCCAGAGCCGUGGGCAACCCACCUGACUUCUCCCACAAGGAACUCGAGGAUCCAAACUGAAGUUCUCCUUCCCAGUCCCUUAGGAUGGGAAUCCUUGGUUUAGUUUCCCACCCCACCCCCAAAUCUGAUUCUCAGCUUCCUUCUGUCCCAUUCUUGCUAGAAGGCCAGCUAUGGUGCCCCCACCGCCUUCAGGAUUAAUUCCAAAUUUCCCAGACUUGCUUUUAGCGCUCGACACACACCCGCACCUCACCUUUAGCCACUCUCCCCUCUAAUAUUAGCUGUAUGCUUCUCUGCCUUGGGGCACUUUGCCUGCUCUUCUCCCGGCUUGGAAUACUAUUUCCUCCUUCCCCACCUCCUCAUGGUGCCUUUCCUGCAAAGACCUUACUCCUCACUCCAGGUGGAAUCAAUCACUGUCUGCCCUGUAGUUAGGAUUCACCUGAUCUCUUAGCUUCCCCUAUUGGCUCAUAAAAUCCUUAAGGACAAAGAUUACGUCUUAUUCAUCUGUAAGUCGCCCACAACACCAAGCAUAGUUCCAUAUGUGCGUUUAAUGUUCGAUAAAUGUUUCGUGAACAAGCGAAUGAAUGAAUACAUGAAGGGCAGAGGGGUAAUGGCUCAGGAGCUUCCUACCCAUCACCUCUUUGAAUUCUCGCAAUGAUUCUGAGCGGUACGUAAAUCUCAUCUCCAUUGGGUGAUGAGGAAGCUGAGGCCCAGAGAGGCAAAGUAACUCGUUCACAAUUACACAGCUUAGAAAGUGGAGGAGCCGAGGCUCAAUUCCAAGUCUGUCUACUCCUGUGUUCUUUUCAUCUGCUCAGAGCACAUCGAUUAUAAAUGUCCUCUGAGGCUGAUCUCCCCAGGGCUUCUGGUGCUUACCUCAAAAUCCAUCAGCAUGGGGCCUCGAAGAGAGUUUGGGGUGACUGCAGUGUCUUCUUUGCUUGGACACCUCCUUCCCUCCUUGGGCUAA